rnacentral:rRNA from 1 species
AGAGUAUGAUAGAGGAAAGCAGAAUUUCUAGUGUAGAGGUGAAAUUCGUAGAUAUUAGAAAGAAUACCAAUUGCGAAGGCAGCUUUCUGGAUCAUUACUGACACUGAGGAACGAAAGCAUGGGUAGCGAAGAGGAUUAGAUACCCUCGUAGUCCAUGCCGUAAACGAUGUGUGUUAGACGUUGGAAAUUUAUUUUCAGUGUCGCAGGGAAACCGAUAAACACACCGCCUGGGGAGUACGACCGCAAGGUUAAAACUCAAAUGAAUUGACGGGGACCCGCACAAGUAGUGGAGCAUGUGGUUUAAUUCGAAGAUACGCGCAGAACCUUACCAACACUUGACAUGUUCGUCGCGACUUUAAGAGAUUAAAGUUUUCGGUUCGGCCGGACGAAACACAGGUGCUGCAUGGCUGUCGUCAGCUCGUGUCGUGAGAUGUUGGGUUAAGUCCCGCAACGAGCGCAACCCUCACUUUUAGUUGCCAUCAUUAAGUUGGGCACUCUGAAAGAACUGCCAGUGAUAAGCUGGAGGAAGGUGGGGAUGACGUCAAGUCCUCAUGGCCCUUACGUGUUGGGCUACACACGUGCUACAAUGGUAUCUACAACAGGAAGCAAAACUGCGAAGUUAAGCAAAUCCCUAAAAGAUACCUCAGUUCGGAUUGCACUCUGCAACUCGAGUGCAUGAAGCUGGAAUUACUAGUAAUCGUGGAUCAGCGUGCCACGGUGAAUGCGUUCCCGGGUCUUGUACACACCGCCCGUCACACCAUGGGAGUUGGUUCUACCUUAAGGCAAGGUUUCAAACCCUUGACCACGGUAUAGUCAGCGACUGGGGUGAAGUCGUAACAAGGUAGCCGUAGGGGAACCUGCGGCUG